CGCUUCGAUGGCCUGAUGGUUAGAACGUCCGUCUCGGAUACGGGAGGUCGUGGGUUCGAUCCCCGGCCGAGUGA